UGAGAUUCUUCAACGCACAGAAUACAAUGAGGUGCAUUAGGAAAGUCCAUGGGUAUCUCUUGGAAUCCAGGGAGCUCUAUACAGAAAUUAACAUGCUGACCUACUCAUCUUUGAUCUUACCCUUAAGGGUAUUUGCGAUAACAAUGUACUAUAAUCGAUUUAUCUUACCAAAUAUAGUAAGUACUCAGAGGCUGUAUCCAAACCUAAAAAUGUUAAUAGCUCAAAACUAAAAGUGAGUCUAAAUUAAAUCAUAAUAGGGUUUACUUUAAAGAGGUUUAUUUUUUACUUCUUUGCUGAAUAUAAUGUUUUUAUGAUUUAAUAGUUGUUAAUUAGAUACAUGCAUCAAGAGAACGAAAUGAGAAAAUAAAAUAGUUCUGAAAAGAAUUAUUUCUUUAUUUUCUCUGAACUUAUUGCUACAAUCCCAUGUGCCUGACAAAGCUACGUGCACGUGGGCGUUCUCUGCAGAGCUGUAGUUGUACCAUCUCAGAAAGUGACGGGCGGGGAGGGGGGAACGUAAGGCUGAGCCUGACCUCGGGGAGCACUAUACCAGGCGCACUUCCUGAAGCUGCAGUGGGAAGUGGGACUCACUGUGUGUGGGGACCAUGGUGAGGCUGACUCCCACAGUUCACAACCCCCCUGGGAGAGCCCCAGAACAGCAGAGUCCUUCUACAUUUACUCCUGAACAAUCACAUAAAAGAGAAGGGGAGGUCAAUCUUCAGGAUAUGAUCAAUACCAUCAGGAAAUUAUUAUUGUUGACAGCACAAGAAUGAGGUUUCCAUGAUGUAAACAUGGACACAAGAGAAUGGCUCAAAUAAGUUCAAGUAUUCUGUGGCCUCUGGGUCUUUCUUUGAGGACUUCAGAAUUUUAGAACAAGUGAUUGAGAAGUUAGCUGGCCUUCUGACCCCAGGUGGAUGAGAGAACAAAAUACUAUUUAUAGGUUCUUGUCUAUACACAACUUUAUUUAAAAUGAACUUAAUCAAUCUGACUCAAUGUAGACCCAAUUUGGCAACUAACAUAAUCUUGGGCUGUGUCAAGGACACUGGUCUGGGCCAGUGGGGCUCUCAGUCUGUCACCUGUUAGCUGUGGGAUCUGGGACUUCUUGGCUUUCAUCUGCCUCAUCCAUCAAGUUAAACUAAAGGUUGAGGCUGAGCCAUGUGUGUAUGGAAAAUAAUUUAGUAAUUAAUAAAGAAUAAUAAGAGGAUAAACUCUGUUUCUCAUACAACUGUAAAGCUGCUUUUGCCCACCCUGUACUAUACAUGCCAUCCUCCUUGCUUUGUAGCUUAGGAGCAUCAUAUCUUAACAUUCUCCCUCACAGAUGUUCAUAACGUGCUGUUGGUAUUGAUGUCUCGCUGUAUGCUGCUGCUGAACUAUGCACAAUUGCCAGAUUCAAGGAUGCUAAAUCCUUUAUUUGCUCUGUGAGUUUGGGGACUACUAGCAUAGGUACAUUUCAGUCAAGACUUACUAAAAAAAAAUUUCUCUAAAAUCAGUAUUUGGAACUAGUUUCCCCACUAAGUCUACCAGUGUACUUGGAUUGAAAGGUAAUUGUUUGAUUUCCACUUCCUAAAAUGUGGAGCGUUCAGCUCUGUCGGAAUCAUUUUGAUUGGUGGUGCAUGUUUAACAGCACUUUAAGAAUGUGAUGCCCCUGUUAAACAUUAUACUCUUCGAUAUAAACAACAAACAUUAUCAAAAGCCUGCUUUGUACGAGGUACAAUACCAAGUUGUGAGGCAUCAGGAAGUAUCAAUUAUCUGCCCACAGGAAGUUGGUGCUUUAAUGUGCAAUGCAUGCCGUGUGAGUACACAUAUAAAGUAAAUAAUACACGUUAAACCUCUGCUACCUGCUACGUGAAUUAUAUAGGUUUUAGAGGCAGAAUGUUAAGUCAUGCACCAAAGACAUUUUGACAGGUUUGGGAUGGCUACAAGCCAUUUCCUAGGAAUUAUUCAUAAAGCUUGAGACUAAAAAUGAGGGUUAUGUUAACUUUACAGGAAUAGAGCACUAUGGGCUUUUUGGUCCUAGGGAAUUUCAGGUUGGAGGAACAAUUUUAGCGGGUCCUCAACUGUCCUGAGGACUAAGUCUUUAGUGUCUUCCUCACCCUGAGUUUCUCUGACUAGUCAAUAGCAUGACCAUCCACCAAACUUCUCAAUCAAAACCUUAGGUAUCAUUCUUGAUGCAUCCUUAUCCCUCAUCCCUCACAGCAAAUGUACCAGCAGUCCCACUGCUGCAGUCUGUGAACAGUUUUUGCACACUCCCAGCUGCCUGUUGCCCCCUCACCCUGGUCCAAGCCCAUUAUCCUGCCCCCAGAUAUGGGCCUCUCCUGCCUGGACAGCCACAGCCCCUCCUAGCUCACCUCCUUGAUUCCAUUGCUUCUAACAUCCACUUCAUUCUUUCCAUUGAAUAAUAAUUGUAAAUCAUAAGUCAGAUGAUGCCACUCUCAUGUCAUAAAACCUUGGACGUUUUUCUGUUCCUCUUUAAAAGAAAAGUCCGGUUUCUCCCCAGAAUAUAAACAAGGCCCUGCAGGAUCCACCUUGUGCCAUCUUCUGAACCGCUUUUCUUUAUUUUACUAUAUCGUAGCCAUGGUGAUGUCCUUUCAUUCCUAAGAUAAAAUAGUCUCUUUCCAUUUAGAAGUUUUGCACUUGCUCUUCCUUCUGCCUGGCAUGCAGUUCCUCUGGCUCUGUGUGUGCCUGCCUCCUUCUGUCCUUUCGGUCUCAGCUCAGUCGUCACACUCCCAGCUCAAAUGCUCCCUGACAGCCCUAUCUAACGUAACUCCCCUCAGCUGUCCUCUACAACGCCACCCUGUUCAUUUUUUCCUAGCACAUCUCGGAAAAUGGCAAACAUCCAGUUUCUUUUUUUGUUAUUGUUUACUUAUUUAUUAUUUGUUUCCUCAACAGGCUUCUUAACUCUAGGAGGGUAAAAAUCUUGUGUUUUGUAUUUAUUACUGUAUCUUCAGUAAUAUCACAGUGUCUUGGAUUACUCAGGAACCAUUUGUAAAGUGAACACAGAAUGUGGCUUAUAUAAGCAGAGGGAGGAGAAAGGGGCACUGCAGGCUGCGUGAGAGGGUGAGCAGAGAUCUGGGCGCUGAGUAGUGCCUAGCAGGUAGGAAGCAGCAUCCGAGUCCUGCUCUCUGGACAGGCAAAGCCUGGCAGGAAUGUUGACCAGGGUUGGAGGUUGGGGCCUGGGGCUGGGCCCUAGUGACUGACAAGGGAAAUAGUGUAAAUGGUAAGUGCAAGUUAUGUUCAGAGAAGAGAACAAGAGAUGAACAGCAGAAGAGCCCUGUUAAGCCUGAGAGGGUGAGUCCAGGGUUCUAGAGAGAAGGUACCAGAGAACAUCUGGGGAAGUGUGUAUGGAGGGCAAGGGGUAAGUGCCCAAUAGUUCAGGAUGUGUGGUUUGUGAAAAAAUCAGAGCACUGUUCUUGUUGGGAGUAACUGUGCACCUGUGUACAUGGUACACAAUUUUAUUCCAAUUGUACUGGGAUAUAAAUUUGGAAAGUAAAGCUACUUAUAGAAGGUCUUGGAGUAAGAGCUAUGGGACUAGGAUUAACCUUGCAGUCAGUCAAUGGGAAGCUACUAAAGAAAGAUUUUCAAUCCGUGAUUUGAUAAGGUUGCUCUUACAGGGGUGCUAUUGGUGAGAAAUGCUCUGGGCAGAGAGGACAGGUAGGAGAGAUUGUAGUUGUCCAGCCAAGAGCUUCUGAAAUACAUUUCUAAUGCUGUCCCACUUGAGAAGCAUGGGCUUUAUGUGUCUGUCCUAAGUCGCAAGUAAAAACUAUUCAAAGGGAUUGAUGCAGUGAAGGGCAUGAGGACCUGGACUUUGGGGAGCUUCAGGAGAAGGGUCAGCAGGAACAUGACAGUAUCUCUUCUCUGCCGCUCCUUGGCUUCCAUGUCGACACCGCCUUCGUGGUAGUGCCAUGUUCAGCACCGACACCUCUUGCAGCCUCUUCCUCUGACUCUUCUCUAAGCUGAUGGAUAAGGGGACAGAAGCCUGUAGAGCCGGACUGCACUAUCACCACCCAUCAGUAGGUGCCACCUUCCCACAAGUGAUUUACCCCACUCUGAGAGUCUAGCCUACAGCUUGAAAUUAAUAUUUCAUUUUAUCCCAUAUGUAUUUUGUGUUCUCCACAAUUAUAAAUAUUUAUUGAGGAUACAUGAAAUCAAAGCAAAUCUUUUUUUUUUUUUUUUGCUAAAUCAAGUUACUUACAAGGAUCUGGUCACAUUUUAUUCAGAAUUCUGUUGUUUAAUGAUACUUUUCUACAAUUAAUAGACUGCUUAUUUUUAGCUACUCUGAUAUUACAUUAAUUAUUUUGGUAAUAUUUUUAUCUGGUAGAUUACAGACCAGAUAAAAUUUUCUGUUUUAGAACCAGAAAAAAUAUGGUUCAUGUACUUUGUCUUUACUUUUUUUCUCCAUUUAAUAUUUCCACCACCACAGACAGUUUUGCAGCACAGUCCUGGUACAGAGUAAACUAAUCUCUCCUUUUAAAAAGAAACACCCGCAAAUACCACCAUGCGCCUGGGUUCAGGAUCUUAUAUAUGAUAUGUUUUUAAAAAUUUGAAAUAAAACAUGGGUAGGGGCUUAUUAUUUUAGAGUGUGUUGUAUUAGAUAUAUUUACAUUUGGGUACAACAUUAGCAAUAAAAUAGAAAAAAGACAAGAGAUAAAUGUCUAGGUGUAUAUAAUACCUCCAUAGUUUCAAAUUGAAUUACACGAAUUGAUAAGUAAUAUACUUAAUAUUUUUAAACUGUAUGUAUUCUAAUUGAUCUCUGGAAGUGAAAUGACGAGUAUGCAAGACUGGGAAUUAAUAGGGGCCCCUGCGGCUGUGCUCAGGAAGAGCCAGCUCAUGCCUGACAGCUGGUUCUACUCUGUGCAGUGUCUUACAUGUUAUUCCCGCACCUUCCCAUUUGAAAAUUCAUUUGAAAUGGCAGAGAUAAUAUUUUAUAUUUUAGUGUGUAGGUGAAAUGCACUAUUUUCCUUACUCUCACGCUUUAUUUCCAGCUACCAAAUGUGUAAGUUUUUCUCCCAUUGACCAAUUCUUCACCACCAGCUGGGUGUCUGACAAUUUAAGUCAAUUCUGACACUAUCUACCUGGCGAUAGCAUCAGGUAUCGCCGGUUAAGGGCUCAGUCCCACAAGACUGCUCCCUCUCUUCGCAUGCCAAUUCUAAAUCCAGGCCGUUAUCUGGGCUUCUGACUGACUGGCUAUAAAUCUGAGGUUCCUGUGACACCCCCCACCCCCUGAGUCUGAUAACUUGCUAGAACAUCUCACAAAAUUCAGGAAAAACAGUUUGCUUACUAAAUUACAAAUUGAUUACAAAUGGAUGCAGCCCCCAGAACAACUAGAUGGAAGAGAUGCUCAGGACAAGGUGAGUGGGGAGAGGUGUGGAGCCAAGUGGAAGCUCUUCAAACACCGUACUUUAGGGACUUUUAUGGAAGCUCAAUCACAUUGGUGUGUGCAGUGGAUUGUUACCCCAUUUCCUGGCCUUCUUUCCUCUCUGGAGAGUGGGGAGUAGGAGCUGAGAGUUUCAAACUUGUAACCAUGACUUGGUCUUUCUGGGGAUAAGUCCUCAUCCAGAAAUCCACCAAGAGUUGCCUCAUUAGUACAAAAGACUCCUGUCGUCCAGGAAAUUGCAAGGGAUUUAGGAGCUCUCUGUCAGACACUCCUGUCACUCCAAAAAUUAUAAGGGUUUUUAGGAGUUUCUUGUCAGGAACUGGGGUGAAAGACCAAAUAUUAGCUGGAACAGGCGGAGAGACCAAUCUAUAUACAUUUCCUACUAUCUCAGACUUAGUUAUUUGAAAAGUAGGACAUCUGAUAUUUGCUUGCUUGUUCAGAAGCUGCAGUACGCACACAUGGGUGUCUUCUAUCCUGGUGUAAUCUUAUGUGCUGUGUCACUGGUGUUAAUGCGCCACUUCUACCAGUAGGGAAAUGGUCCCUGUUUUAUUUGCUGCUGUGAAAGUCUCAAAACAUGUGACUGUCCAUGUGAACACUCUGUGCAGAUUAAAGCUGCAGGGCAUGAUUGGAGGAGAUGCAGGCUGCCAAGCCACCGAGGCGGCUAAGAAGGCGGCCCCUGCCAACGACAGCAUGGGAUUAUGUAACGCCUGCAGUGUCUGGCACUGAGCUCCACUGGAGACACAUCACGUGUCGUGCAAUGCUCUUAGCCCUGAAAUUCAAUUAGAUUGCUCUGAAUGAUCCGGAUCGAACCCACAACCUUUUGAUAUACAGGGCGAUGCUCCAACCAGCUAAGCCACCCUGCCAGGGAAUUGGCUGAGACUUCUUGACGUCUUUUCACAAAAGAAGAUCUGGGAUGGAGGAGGAAAAGUAAUAGUAAAUGAUGAAAAAUUGAGACCUUGGAAAGAGGUUGAAGAUUAGUUUAUCAUACGAAGGCCUUAAAAAAAUCACCGGGAAACAAACAAAAUCAAUGAUGUGAGCUUGACCUCCCAGCGCCUUCUACCCUCAUUUUUCUCCAAAUAGAAUUUAAGGUUUCAGACAAAGGCCCUGGUGAGAAGUUGAUAUUCAUUAAAAUUGUUUGGGACAUUGAGUUGAAACCAAAGACACCAAGUUGCAACAUUAUGCAGAGGACUUCCAUUUUGUUAGACCAGCGGGGAUUAGGUGUACAGCUGCUUUGGGAUUUGGGGUGAAGAUUUCUUGAAUUGGAGCAAAAUCAGUGCUAUUGAUUUUUCCUCCUGUUGCGAAAAGGCUUUUAUUUUACUCGUAUCCUUUGAAAACCUUAUUAGGACAUGAACUUGCUCAAAAUAAACCAAUAUUUUAACUUUAAUGUAAAUGGAUAUUCAUGAGAGGGCUGUUCACAGCAUGUCAUAAUAAAACACAGAUAUUGACAUGUUUUGUUUCAAUAGAUUAUCUAAAUUUUGUUUCAGAUUUAACAUGCAUAUGCAUCUCUUUUUCAUUUAAUUUUUCUAACUAUCUGCAGUAGGUAUUCCAUUUACCCAAAGGAAAGCCUGAUGGGUAGAGAGAUACCAUGAGCUUUCCAGGGUCACUUCAAGCAGGGGACUGGACAGAGGUUCUAAAACAAAACGUAAUCAUUUUCAUCCCACUAUACUACUGGUCUCCAAAUGCUGUUCCAUGGACUGGUGACAGGCUGGCCCAUAUUUCAUGGAAAUCCUAUUUUAUUAUGCCUACAGUGACAUUCUGGGAAGCUAUCAUUUGUAAAUCCCAUCCCAGGUGAUUAUGAUGCAAGAUCAGAAUUGCUAGCUACUACUGGUCUAAUAUUCUGAGCCAUAGAGAUAGCAUUAAAACAUCUCUAUUGGCUUUUUAACAGAAGCUGUACUUCUGUUCUGUGUAUAUGUAUGUGGGUAUACAUAUAUAUGUAUUUCUAGUCAUCCUUGUGAAGAUACAUACAUAUAUAAAAUACUGCACAUUCAAACCCAAACUGUAAAACCACAGUUCGUUAUUUUUUGUUUCUUGGUUAAACUUUAACUGAAAAUACAUCUUUCUAGAAUAGACAUAAAACAGCCUGUGGCUACCACAGACUAUUUAUAGUAGCCAAAAGAAAAGAGUGGGAAGUAUAAUUCAAUAAAUAGCAUCUGUUGUUAGAAGACUAGCCUCUAGGUCUUAAAUGGAUGCUAGCUGUUGUAACUUUGUUCAGUGAGUGAAUUCAGAGUUGGUGUAAUGAGUCGGUGAUGGAGGGAUGGCUCGUUGUCAUUAUUAGCGACUGUGACUUGCUGCUGCAUCUUUACGAAAUUGAAAGAAGAGACCAGCUCAUCCCCUACCCUACCAUCAUUGAACCUAUUUUUACUGUUUUCCCUUUCCUGUUUGCAUCUCUAGAAGGUGACGUAUGACCCAUCGCUGCUGGGCCUGGGGCUCUGUGAGAUCUUUCCUCUCUUUGUCCUUCCCUGUGCGUCUGCAUCUUUCUGCAAGAUCAUGUUUUGGGCCACAGAUACGCGUUUUGAAGGGGAAUGUUUGCAAAAGCUAAAUUGAUUCUGUGAACCUGCAUAUUUUGACCAAAGCACCAUGACUCAGGCUUUGGAUAGAAUCCAGUGGGAACUCUGCGUGCACUGAAUCUGAAAAAUUUACAAUUCUACAGUUAAUAACCAGGGUACAGACAACUUUCAGAACCUAUACUUUCUAGAAACAUUCUUAAUGGUAUCCACUGUCAGAGUACAUUUACCAAGGAUAUGACUGACAGCUAUUAAGACAUUUUUCACUUAAUAUGUAGUCUUUAUGUAAUACUAGCAUUACAUAAAAACAGCAGUAGUUUUUCAAGCAUUGCGCUUAUGCAAAAGUAAGUAAUAGUGAAGUGCGUUAUGAUUUUAUGAACCUCGGUCAUGAAUGAAUAAACUUUUCUUUGUAGAAGAAUUAACUGUUCAUGUCAGCUUUGCAUAACUAUAGAAAAUGCACCACCUCACAAAAAUGUUUCAGGUAAUAAAAUAAAUGAAAUCAUCAUUAUCCAGGUUGGUUAGGGGGAGUUUCUUUGUGAGGAUUUCUAUUAUGGGAAGGGAACUAUUCAAGGGCAGACUCUGUUCUUUUUAAAUGUACUUUUUUUCACAGUGACUCAUAUUGUUACAUUGAUGUGAUGAU